AGUGAACGCUGGCGGUAGGCCUAACACAUGCAAGUCGAACGGCAGCACAGUAAGAGCUUGCUCUUACGGGUGGCGAGUGGCGGACGGGUGAGGAAUACAUCGGAAUCUACUUUUUCGUGUGGGAUAACGUAGGGAAACUUACGCUAAUAUCGCAUACGACCUACGGUGGAAAGCAGGGGAUCUUCUGACCUUGCGCGAUUGAAUUAGCCGAUGUCGGAUUAGCUAGUUGGCGGGGUAAAGGCCCACCAAGGCGACGAUCCGUGGCUGGUCUGAGAGGAGGAUCGGCGACAUUGGAACGGAGCCGCGGUCAAGGCGCCUACGGGAGGGAGCAGUCGGGAAUGGGAGACAACGGGGGGAAGUCUGAUCCAGUCGUACGACGUGGGUGAAGAAGGCGUUGGGGGUGUAAAGACCGUCUGUGGGGAGAGAAAAGCAGCCGGUUAAGACGACGCGGUUCUGACGGUACCGAGAGAAGAAGCACCGGCUAACUACGUG
rnacentral:rRNA from 1 species